rfam:Pygoscelis adeliae contig25844, whole genome shotgun sequence.
CCAAAGGCUGUUAUUACAGCCACUAAUUGUUGUAGGCUGUUCUCU